rnacentral:tRNA from 1 species
GGGGAUUUAGCUCAGCGGUAGAGCGCUUGCCUAGCACAUGCAAGGCCCUGGGUUCAGUCCCCA